AUACUUACCUGGCAGAGGAGUUACCCUGGUCACGAAGGUGCUUUUGCUAGGCUGAGGUUUAUCCAUUGCACUUCGGGUUUACUGACUCCUGCGAUUUUCUCAAAUGUGGGAAACUCAACUGCAAAAUUUAUGGUGGUGAGGGACUGCGUUCGCGCUUUCCCCUG